GUGCUGUGGUCUUGGCUUGUGCAAACACAAAUGGUGGCAUGUAGGGCGAAAAAGAAAAUUGCAUCGUCGUCGUUGCUGUUUCAUGGUCGUGGUCAUUGUACUCGUAAUUUCGUAACAAUCCAUCAGUAUAUAGUUAGUGAAAAGGGAAGAUACAAGUUUGGGUACAAGAGAACCAGGGAGUGUGAAAAACAACAAAGUUGAGUGUUCUCCUGCGUUACAUGCUGAUGCCGAGCAGCAUGUGUAUAGGAAUUAGAAAGGAUUCGCUUCCAACCACAGUGGAUACGCUUAGAUUUGCUGAUUCACGAUAUCGAGAAGUAUUUUUUGUGAAGGUGAAUUCGUACUGCGUACUCCGCGAUCGUCUGAUUCAAUGGUAUGCGGUGUGAAUUCCGAAGAGCAAGGUCAAUCUGCGAGAUGGGUGCGUUCCUGGAGAAGCUGAUGACGGCCAAUCACAAGGAGCAUGGCGAAGGCAAAAAACUUUCAGUGCAGGAUCUAUGCAAGGGUGGCGCUGUGUCAUAAAAGAGGCACACUACACAUAAACCAUAUUUAAUUGGAUUGGAAUUAUUUUGAUAGACAGACUUGCAGGUCACAAAGUGGCCGAUCAUCGUGCAAACAAUCUGCUCCAGUCGAUCGUUCGAACACAGGAAUUAGGAAAUAACAAUACGAAAGGUAUUCAUUCUGGGUUCCUCAAAUUAAAUGAAUCCAUGCGAGACAUUCCGGAGCUGGCAUAGGGAGUGGAUAAAUCUGGCACCACGGCAGUAUGGGCGGUCAUUUCCAGCCAAAACUUCUCAGGUGAAAAGCAGCGAAUCCAGAAUGCUGGAUGGUCCGUCACGACUUAAAGGGUAAACGGGAGCGUCGGACUGUCAUGAAUAUUAAAUGAUUACGAUUGUAAAAAAGUCAAGGAUUUAUGCCAGUGCGAACAGCUGGUAUCCCACGAGCUUGAAUAUUUCUGCAAAACUCAAGAUCCAACGGAUGAGUUUCUGGUUUUUGUCUGCGACGGUAUGUGAGAUGUGAUGAACAAUGUCUACAUCUGCCAGUUUGUACAUAGUCGAAUGCAGAUCACCGAUAGCUUGGAAGACAUCGCCAACCAGGUCAUCAAUACGUGUCUACACAAGAAUUACGACAAUAUAAGCAUAAUUAUCAUUGCAUUCCCUGGUGUUCCAAUGACCAACAAAGACGUUAUCGAAAAAAAGAAAAGUUGGAAGCGGCACUGCACAAGAAGAUGUAGGAGAUGAUAACCGAAAUGGGCUCCAACGUGGAGUACAGUUUGCUAUUGAAGCCAGUGGCGUAGCCAGAAAAUUGGUUUGGGGGGGAUUUCUGAACAUUUUUUUUUCGAAAAAAAAAUUUUCUUCCAAAAAUUGUGUCUUUGGGGGGGGGGUUAUACCUAAAACCACCCCCGUGGAUACGCCACUGAUUGAAGCGAUUGAGGAAGGAAAACAUCACUCGAUACUGAGCUUUCAUUUGUGUUUUCAAGGAGCUGUACCCGAGACUGGCGGACACUUGAGGCAGUGCAGAUUUCUGGACAACGCGCUCGGUUGCUGGUGUCCCGAAGAAUGCGACUUCGUCCUAUUCUAGUCAGCAGGAGGCAGUCAGAACAGACUAAAUAGGAUUUCAUUCAGUUGAUCCAUUCUAAAACUACCUUAUAUAUAUGAGCUUUGUUUUGUUUUGUAUUCAUUAAAUAAUUUUCAUAACAAAUUUCUGGAUAACGAUCAAAAUUGACAUACCAUGGGAAAUCAUUCAGUUUUUAAACAUGUAUUUCAAGCCGUUUUCGAAAAAAGUUUGCCAACUUUCCCCAAAGGAUUUCUCGAAUUUUAAUAAUUGUUACAUAUGGCGUGAAGAAAAAUUUAUGCUUGGUUUGAUCUAAUUCAAUUAACUAUUAUAGUUAACUAUUUAACUCGUUAAUUAUUACGCGGGUAGGUUCUUAGGUUCGCAUUCAUUAUUGAGUCUUUCUAACCGUCCGUUUGCACUGCUGAUAGACAAUAGCUCAUCUCAGUGGAAGGUGGACUAAGCAUACUAAGCAUUAUUUGAUGUUAGGUUGAAUGGAAAUGUUUAUUAUUUGAUUUAUUUUGAAGCAUUAUGUAAAUUUUCGUUUUUUUUUCAAGGGAACGUUGCAAAAAUGAAUAUUUAUAGAAAACUAUUGCGUUUUUCUCGUAAAUCCAGAGCAUCCAGAUGUGUUUCCUGGGUAGUCAUUGCAAGCCAUUUCUUCUCAGGCCUAGGGAAAUCACGAACUUACUGAAUUUAGUUUGCUAUACAAGCUGGUUCCAUGUGCAAAUCAUUAUCAAAAUUCUCGGAUAACGAUCCACCAUGUUCGUUACUCGACACUAGGCUCUUGGCCACUGCUUCGACUAUCGUAGCCAACCCAGCCAAGAAUUACAAAAUAUAAAUACACCUUGAUUUGUUUACAUGGUUUGGUUUUAGUCGAUUAACACCUUUAGCGUCAUUGAAACAAUGAGUUAACCCUACGAAAAAGUACAAAAAAUCAAAGAACAGGUGAUAUUUAAAAAGUUCUGAAAGUUCAGGUUAACCGAUAAAUCAAUUAGGGUAAUUUGCCAAAUGUUGAACGGCUAAUUUCUUGGCCCUCUGUUGAACGCACGUGCAUUUCUUAUGGAAGUUCAACAAUAGGCAACAAAUCAGCCGUUCAACAUUUGGCAGAAUACCGCGUAAAAAAUCAGGCUGUAUAUAUAAUGCCUUCAGUUCGUCGGAAUCAUUUAGCAACAGAGUUGCUUUAAGAGCCUAUUCAGAUUACAAGCUUUAUCACGUGUUAAGGUGGAGAAAGAAAAUGAAAUGUAUGCGAUGAGCAUUAACCACAACAUCAAGUUUUUUAUCACUUAAUAAAUGG